rnacentral:tRNA from 1 species
GAGAGGUGGCGGAGUGGUCGAUCGCGGCGGUCUUGAAAACCGUUGUCCCGCAAGGGACCGGGGGUUCGAAUCCCUCCCUCUCC